GACGAACGCUGGCGGCGUGCCUAAUACAUGCAAGUCGAGCGAACAUUUGAGAGCUUGCUCUCAAAUGUUAGCGGCGGACGGGUGAGUAACACGUGGGCAACCUGCCUAUAAGACUGGGAUAACUUCGGGAAACUGGAGCUAAUACCGGAUAAUUCACAUCUACUCAUGUAGAUGUGCUGAAAGACGGUUUACGCUGUCACUUAUAGAUGGGGCCCGCGGUGCAUUAGCUAGUUGGUGAGGUAACGGCUCACCAAGGCCACGAUGCGUAGCCGACCUGAGAGGGUGAUCGGCCACACUGGGACU
rnacentral:rRNA from 1 species